rnacentral:rRNA from 1 species
UACGUAGGGUGCAAGCGUUGUCCGGAAUUAUUGGGCGUAAAGAGCGUGUAGGCGGCCCGGUUAGUCCGCUGUGAAAGUCCAGGGCUCAACCCUGGAAUGCCGGUGGAUACUGUCGGGCUAGAGUCCGGAAGGGGCGAGUGGAAUUCCUGGUGUAGCGGUGAAAUGCGCAGAUAUCAGGAGGAACACCAUGGCGAAGGCAGCUCGCUGGGACGUGACUGACGCUGAGACGCGAAAGCGUGGGGGAGCAAACAGG